rnacentral:rRNA from 1 species
AACGUAGGAGACAAACGUUAUCCGGAGUUACUGGGCGUAAAGGGCGUGUAGGUGGUUUCGUAAGUCUGGCGUGAAAUUUUUCGGCAUAACCGGGAAAGGUCGUCGGAUACUGCGGGACUGGAGGACGGUAGAGGCGUGUGGAAUUCCGGGUGUAGUGGUGAAAUGCGUAGAGAUCCGGAGGAACACCAGUGGCGAAGGCGACACGCUGGGCCGUACCUGACGCUGAGACGCGAAAGCGUGGGGAGCAAACAGG